rnacentral:lncRNA from 1 species
AGGUUGGGGAGACAAUAUGAGCUAUGGCUAUACAAGGACAGACCACUACCAUGACUACCAAAGAGAUCUGCAAUACAAUCCAUGUUGGGUGGACAAUCCGAAUUAUGGCUAUGCAAGGGCUGACUACUACCAAAACUAUCAAGCCCAAGCAACACCUCAAAACUCCAAUAUGGAACUUGAAGAGAUGGUAAGGAAAUUGGAAAUUUCUGGAAAAAUUCUCCAACAGCAAGUGGAUCAAGCGGUCAAUUCAAUGAACGCGCACAUAUUAAGAAGAGAGGAAGAGCUUCAAGAUCUAUGGGACGAUGACGAAGAAACAGACCAA